AACGACGCUGGCGGCAUGCCUAACACAUGCAAGUCGAACGAACCCUUCGGGGUUAGUGGCGCACGGGUGCGUAACGCGUGGGGAUCUGCCCUUUGCUUCGGUAUAACAGUUAGAAAUGACUGCUAAUACCGGACGAUGUCGAAAGACCAAAGAUUUAUCGGCAAAGGAUGAACCCGCGUAGGAUUAGCUAGUUGGUAGGGUAAAGGCCUACCAAGGCGACGAUCCUUAGCUGGUCUGAGAGGAUGAUCAGCCACACUGGGACUGAGACACGGCCCAGACUCCUACGGGAGGCAGCAGUGGGGAAUAUUGGACAAUGGGCGAAAGCCUGAUCCAGCAAUGCCGCGUGAGUGAUGAAGGCCUUCGGGUUGUAAAGCUCUUUUACCAGGGAUGAUAAUGACAGUACCUGGAGAAUAAGCUCCGGCUAACUCCGUG
rnacentral:rRNA from 1 species